CAGCUAGUUGGUGAGGUAAUGGCUCACCAAGGCCACGAUCAGUAGCCGGUCUGAGAGGACGGUCGGCCACACUGGAACUGAGACACGGUCCAGACUCCUACGGGAGGCAGCAGUGGGGAAUUUUUCGCAAUGGGGGCAACCCUGACGAAGCAACGCCGCGUGGGUGAUGAAGUAUUUCGGUACGUAAAACCCUUUCGACGGGGAAGAAACCGCAAGGUUGACGGUACCCGUAGAAGAAGCCCCGGCUAACUCCGUGCCAGCAGCCGCGGUAAUACGGGGGGGGCAAGCGUUGUUCGGAAUUACUGGGCGUAAAGGGCGCGUAGGCGGUUCGCUAAGUUGGAUGUGAAAACUUUGGGCUUAACCCAGAGCCUGCAUCCAAAACUGGCAAACUUGAGUACUGGAGGGGAAAGCGGAAUUCCUGGUGUAGCGGUGAAAUGCGUAGAUAUCAGGAGGAACACCGGUGGCGAAGGCGGCUUUCUGGACAGUAACUGACGCUGAUGCGCGAAAGCUAGGGGAGCAAACAGGAUUAGAUACCCUGGUAGUCCUAGCCCUAAACGAUGGAUACUUGGUGUGAGGGGGAUUGAAUCCCUUCGUGCCGUAGCUAACGCAAUAAGUAUCCCGCCUGGGGAGUACGGUCGCAAG
rnacentral:rRNA from 1 species